rnacentral:lncRNA from 1 species
AUUUGAUGAUGAUAGGCUAUCUAUUAACAUAUAUGAUUUCUCAAUAAUUUUGCUGAUGUGGCACAACCACAUUACUUUAGAAGUUCUUUUUUUAAAAAAAAACUCAGCCCAUAUUCUCUUGUCUUAACUCCCACCCCUUCAUCUUCUCCUUGCAACGUAUAUCUUACCUUCCUCCUCUUUUAAGCAUAAACUUUCACUCCUUAACAUAUAUAAUUUCUCAAUAAUCUUGCUGAUGUGGUACAACCACAUUACUUUAGAAGUUUUUUUUUUUAACUCAGCCCAUGUUCUCUUGUCUUAACUCCCACCCCUUCAUCUUCUCCUUGCAACGUAUGUCUUACCUUCCUCCUCUUUUAAGCAUAAACUUCCACCCCUCCAUCUUCUUCUUGCAAUAAAUUGCAACGUAUACCUUACCUUCCUCCUCUCUUAAGUAUAAACUUCCACCCCUCCAUCUUCUUCUUACAAUAAAUCUAUUAAUUUCACAAACUUCUAUUAAUUAAUUAACAUAUAUGAUUUCUUCCCCUUGGCUUAACUCCCAUCCCUCCAUCUUCUCCUUGCAACGUAUACCUUACCUUCCCUCUCUCUUAAGCAUAAACUUCCAUCCCUCCAUCUUCUUCUUGCACCAAAUCUAUUAAUUUUACAAACUUAUUACUUUAUCAAGUUAGAGCAUAUCAACAUAACCAGAGUUAGCAACUUCCUAAUAAAAUAUUUUUA